UGUCAAGAUAGGACAUGGGCAUAAGUAGC
rnacentral:piRNA from 1 species